rnacentral:rRNA from 1 species
UACGUAGGUGGCGAGCGUUAUCCGGAUUUAUUGGGUUUAAAGGGUGCGUAGGCGGGCUUUUAAGUCAGCGGUAAAAAUUCGGGGCUCAACCCCGUCCGGCCGUUGAAACUGGGGGCCUUGGGUGGGCGAGAAGAAGGCGGAAUGCGUGGUGUAGCGGUGAAAUGCAUAGAUAUCACGCAGAACCCCGAUUGCGAAGGCAGCCUUCCGGCGCCCUACUGACGCUGAGGCACGAAAGUGCGGGGAUCGAACAGG